UACAGAGGGGGCAAGCGUUGUUCGGAAUUACUGGGCGUAAAGGGCGCGUAGGCGGCCCUCUAAGUCGAACGUGAAAUCCCUGGGCUCAACCCAGGAACUGCGUCCGAGACUGGGGGGCUAGAAUCCGGGAGAGGGAUGUGGAAUUCCAGGUGUAGCGGUGAAAUGCGUAGAUAUCUGGAGGAACACCGGUGGCGAAGGCGGCGUCCUGGACCAACACUGACACUGAUGAGCGAAAGCCAGGGGAGCAAACGGG
rnacentral:rRNA from 1 species